rnacentral:rRNA from 1 species
AACGGAGCUAAUACCGGAUAAUAUAUUGAACCGCAUGGUUCAAUAGUGAAAGACGGUUUUGCUGUCACUUAUAGAUGGAUCCGCGCCGCAUUAGCUAGUUGGUAAGGUAACGGCUUACCAAGGCAACGAUGCGUAGCCGACCUGAGAGGGUGAUCGGCCACACUGGAACUGAGACACGGUCCAG